rnacentral:rRNA from 1 species
AGGAAUAUUGGGCAAUGCCCGCAAGGGUGACCCAGCAACGCCGCGUGGAGGAUGAAUGUCGUAAGAUUGUAAACUCCUGUUAGAGGGGAAGAAUAGUACCGGUUGGACCGGUAUAUGACUGUACCCUCAGAGAAAGCCCCGGCUAACUACGUGCCAGCAGCCGCGGUAAUACGUAGGGGGCAAGCGUUGUCCGGAUUUACUGGGUGUAAAGGGCGCGCAGGCGGGAUAAAAAGUCAGUGGUGAAAUCCUACAGCUUAACUGUAGAACUGCCUUUGAUACUUUUAUUCGUGAGUUCGGGAGAGAGAGACGGAAUUCCAGGUGUAGUGGUGAAAUACGUAGAUAUCUGGAAGAACACCAGUUGCGAAGGCGGUCUCUUGAUCCGACACUGACGCUGAGGCGCGAAAGCGUGGGGAGCAAACA